rnacentral:rRNA from 1 species
GACGUAGGGCGCGAGCGUUGUCCGGAUUUAUUGGGCGUAAAGGGCUUCUAGGCGGUUUGUCACGUCGACUGUGAAAACUCGGGGCUCAACCCCGAGCCUGCAGUCGAUACGGGCAGACUAGAAUUCGGUAGGGGAGAUCGGAAUUCCUGGUGUAGCGGUGAAAUGCGCAGAUAUCAGGAGGAACACCGGUGGCGAAGGCGGUUACCUGGAGCUUUGCUGACGCUGAUGCGCGAAAGCGUGGGGGAGC